AGAUUUCCCAUAGCGUAAGCUAGUAAGACCCCUUGAAGACUACAAGGUUGAUAGGUCAGAGGUGUAAGUAUGGCAACAUAUUUAGCUGACUGAUACUAAUAGGUCGAGGGCUUGACCAAUAA
rnacentral:rRNA from 1 species